AAUAGCGCAGUUGGUAGCGCGUCGGUCUCAUAUAAAUAUUUAUCCGAAAGUCGUGAGUUCAAAUCUCACUUG
rnacentral:tRNA from 1 species